CCUACGGGGCGCAGCAGUGAGGAAUAUUGGUCAAUGGCCGAGAGGCUGAACCAGCCAAGUCGCGUGAGGGAAGAAUGUCCUAUGGAUUGUAAACCUCUUUUGUCAGGGAGCAAAGUCACCCACGUGUGGGUGUUGGAGAGUAGCUGAAGAAAAAGCAGCGGCUAACUACGUGCCAGCAGCCGCGGUAAUACGGAGGAUGCGAGCGUUAUCCGGAUUGAUUGGGUUUAAAGGGUGCGUAGGCGGGUUAUCAAGGCAGCGGUAAAAUCGUGGAGCUCAACUCCAUCCAGCCGUUGAAACUGAUGAUCUGGAGUGGGCGAGAAGUAUGCGGAAUGCGUGGUGUAGCGGUGAAAUGCAUAGAUAUCACGCAGAACUCCGAUUGCGAAGGCAGCAUACCGGCGCCCGACUGACGCUGAAGCACGAAAGCGUGGGUAUCGAACAGGAUUAGAUACCCGAGUAGUC
rnacentral:rRNA from 1 species